CUAAAGCAAGGCUGAGCUAACCUUUUUCUAGCAGCAUCUCCAGCGAAGAGAUAUUGUAGUACUGUAUUGGGAUCCCGUUUUACUUCUGCUCUGAGGGAGCUGAGGUGCAAAAGGCAGACAGCAGAUGAUGGGAGUUGAAGUGUUUCGGGUUCAGAGGACAUCCCAACCACUUUGCAGUGUCGGCACUGUUACUUCCUACCGAAUGGGGUGGUGUGUAAGAGGAAGAGAAGGAGUAGGGAUGAAGCAGAACAUCCACAAAGUUCCCAUGGGAAACUCUCUCUUUCUGCUGUCCACAAUAAUGGAGUUGGAGAGGGAAACACAGAGCAGACCAUAUCAUGCACACACAGUACACAAAUAACUAAAUGAAAGAGAGAAUGUUUUAUAAUGGAGAUAUGUGUGUUCCGAUUAAUGCAUAUUGCAUUGGGAAUAAAAUCAGAACAAAAAGUUUCUUUAAAAGUGAAUGCGGCCAGUCUGUUCAGUAAGAUCAAAGGCCUCUAAAAUGCCCUUGAGAUGAGUUUAAUAACACAUGUUUUGUGUACAUGUUUUGUGUACAUUAUAUGAGAUUGCUGUCCUGCUAGUUUAUUAGCCUUUCAGCCACCCCAACAUACAGUGCUGUAGAUCCAAACAAAGCUAUGGAAU